rnacentral:rRNA from 1 species
GCCUAUGGCCAUGCCACCCUGAACGUGCCCAAUCUUGUCUGAUCUUAAAAGCUAAGCAGGGUCAGGCUUGGUUAGUAUUUGAAUAGGAGACCUCCUAGGAAUACCAGGUGCUGUAAAAA